rnacentral:rRNA from 1 species
UACGGAGGGUGCAAGCGUUAUCCGGAUUCACUGGGUUUAAAGGGUGCGUAGGAGGGCAGGUAAGUCAGUGGUGAAAUCCCCGAGCUUAACUUGGGAACUGCCGUUGAUACUAUCUGUCUUGAAUAUCGUGGAGGUGAGCGGAAUAUGUCAUGUAGCGGUGAAAUGACUUAGAUAUGACAUAGAACACCAAUUGCGAAGGCAGCUCGCUACACGAAUAUUGACUCUGAGGCACGAAAGCGUGGGGAUCAAACAGG